AUUGAACGCUGGCGGCAGGCCUAACACAUGCAAGUCGAGCGAGUGGCGGACGGGUGAGUAAUGUCUGGGAAACUGCCUGAUGGAGGGGGAUAACUACUGGAAACGGUAGCUAAUACCGCAUACCAUCAGAUGUUCCCAGAUGGGAUUAGCUAGUAGGUUGGGUAAAGGCUAACCUAGGCGACGAUCCCUAGCUGGUCUGAGAGGAUGACCAGCCACACUGGAACUGAGACACGGUCCAGACUCCUACGGUAGGCAGCAGUGGGGAAUAUUGCACAAUGGGCGCAAGCCUGAUUCAGCCAUGCCGCGUGUAUGAAGAAGGCCUUCGGGUUGUAAAGCACUUUCAGCGAGGAGGCGUUACUCGCAGAAGUAGCACCGGCUAACUCCGUGCCAGCAGCCGCGGUAAUAC
rnacentral:rRNA from 1 species